UACAGAGGUCUCAAGCGUUGUUCGGAUUCAUUGGGCGUAAAGGGUGCGUAGGCGGCGCGGUAAGUCGGGGGUGAAAGCCUGUGGCUCAACCACAGAAUUGCCUUCGAUACUGUCGAGCUUGAGACCGGAAGAGGUAAGUGGAACUGCGAGUGUAGAGGUGAAAUUCGUAGAUAUUCGCAAGAACACCAGUGGCGAAGGCGGCUUACUGGUCCGGUUCUGACGCUGAGGCGCGAAAGCGUGGGGAGCAAACAGG
rnacentral:rRNA from 1 species